rnacentral:misc_RNA from 1 species
GUGCUGUUUCAGGACGCAUAUAACCAGGGCUCAGACCAGAAGGGCCUAUUGAAGUUUGAAACAUUAAGUUGAAUGGAUACGGAUCAGAGAGGGGAUUUUUGGUGUCUGGAGCCACAAUGCCAUAUUCCUUGAUCUUUGCACCCAGCUCUUCAGCAGAGAGAUCAUCCAAGACUGCAAGAACAUGUUUAAGUUCUGCAGCCUUCUCCGCAGUUAUUGUAAGAUCUUUUUGAAGCUUCUCAUUACAGAAAUCUUUCAACAAGUGAUCAGCCCGGUAACAGGUCCCGGUUAUCUCAUCCUUGACCAUAAGGUCUGUGAACUUGUCCACAUGACCAGAUGCUUUGAGGACAACCUCAGGCGUCACGCACGGGCAGUCAACCUCCAACAUGCUCUCCUCGAGAACAAAAUGCUGGCGCCAGAAAGCAAGGACAUUGGACUUAACGGCGCAACCGGGAGGCCCAUAAUCGUAAAGGCCAGCGACGCCUCUAUAAAUCUUGAACGAUGGAAUGUAAAAUAAACGCCUUUCCAGAGUGUUAACCACAGCUUGACGAAACGCUUCCCUGUUUACGGAGCUAUCAGGACCAUUACCACUGACGGCAGCUUGAAGCUGCUGCUCGAUCGCAGACUUCUCAAGCUUUAAAGCGUUAAGAGUUUCGAUUGCGGCGUCGAUUUCGGCCUUAGCCACUUUGGCGGCUUUGAGUGCACGGACAGCAUUGCCUUGCCCUUCAACAGCAGAUUGCUUCUCGGCACGGGCUUUGCGGAGGGAAUCCUCGGUAGUGUCCAUUGGUGGUGAGGGGCUUUUCAAGGGGUGGAUUAGGGUUGAUAGUUGGGCUAAGAGUGGGUGGCGCGAGCUGAGUCGAGGGAGAAAAUGGUAGCCAAUGGAACUUGAUGAGGAAAUUAGACGGGAGAGAAUACGCAUGCGAGCUCUGC